UCCAGAUGACUUGCGGCAACAUAGAAAUGUCAUGGUCAGAAUUGGAAUUCAAAGUGGACCAACAUAUUUAAUAAUAAUUUUUUAAAAAGGAUGAAAGGAAACCCAAAAAUGUUCUACGAUGCUUGCUUUGUUUUAACGGAAGCUCACAUUCAGGUCAGGAUGGGACGACCAAGUUUGUUUGUAUGUGGCAAAAAGGAAGUUUUAGAUGCUGCUGAGAAGUUCACUUAAGAACGUGGGCACCGAUUCUGACGGAGUAAGAGAGAGCCUAGGAACAGGAAGAAAAUGCAAGGGGGCUCAAAGAGGCACAACAAAUAAAUCCUGACAGCUAAGAACUGCAACCCACGCGGCCUGACGGCAGAAAGGUCGCAAGAAGCUGAGGGGCAGGGGAUGGGCGGAGUGCCAGGGAGGAAUCGAGGUCACAGCGGAGAGGGCAGAAGAGAGAGCUGCCGAAGGAGUCAGGAGAGCCGCCCCUGCAGUCCUGCGACGAGGACGGAGACGACCAGCACCUUAGAGAACCUGAGGAGCUGAAAACGCUACCUGCUGGGCCCGGGGUGGGCAGACCGGGCGUUUAAAGGUCAAGGUCAAGAAGAAAAAAUAAAAGGUCUCCUGGACGGCUGCGGGGUGAAGGUGGCCCUGGCAGGAACGCGUGCAAAAUAGACCGGGGACUGAAGUCGAGACGGAGGGCGGGCAGAGGGACCAGUGCUGGGCCACCGGAGGGAGGGAGGGAGGGACUGAGACCCGGGCCCAGGGCCUCCGCCUCACUCACUUGCCCUCCUGGCAGUCAUAGAGCACGAUGGAGUCGUCGUCGCUGCUCGAGAUGACCGUCUCGCCGUUGGGGCUGAAAUCGAAGCAGUUAAUCUUGUCCGAGUUUUCGCGGAACACCUUAGCGACGCGGAAGCUCCGCAGCACGCUGUCGGUCAGCUUCAUGGCGGCGGCAGGGGAAGGCAGCGGCGGCGCAGGGCCGGGGCGGGGCCCGGCGGCGAGCGGGCGGGCUGCCGAGGGGCCAACCAGGCGGGGCCGGCGCCGCGCCGGCGGCUAGCGGGAAGUCGGCCGACAGUUGGGCCGCCUCCUCCCCUUCCUCCUGCUUGGACAACAGUCUUCUGCCUGGACUGUGGAGCCUCGCCGAUCUUUGGUCCUCACAGCCACCUCAGGGGCAACUAGCGCGUAGCCGGCUCAUUGUGUCCGCCAUCUUGGGGCGACAGGCAGAAGCGGAGGGCGAGGAGCUUUAGCCGCGGCGCACGUCGGGAAAGGGGGCGGGGCGGGAACAGCCGCGCGAGGCGGGGAGGCGGGGCGGUGACGUCAGCGCUGCCGCGGUCGAGUGUAGUGGCUCGGCGGGCUGCUGGGAGGGAAGGGUCGGGACGUGCAGGGCCUUCCCCAGGGUGUCGGAAGGUGGCGAGUGCCUGGGAGCCGGGGGCCCUUGCGCGGGCUUGCAACAUCCCCCUACGAAGGCUCGGGUGUCCCCUACAGGCGCCCCAACCGCAAGCCGCGCGGAAGGGGUGCUUUGGGGUCGGGAACGCGGCUGGAAGCCGGUUUUGGGGGUGAAUCAGGUGAACCGCUCGCAGGCGGUCUUGACCGCUACUCCACCGCAGCGCCCGCUUAGACAGCUUCGACCUCUUUACUAUUUUAUUGGGCUGUGAUAUAUAAUAGAGUGCACAAUUUUUUUUUUUCAAUGAGACGGAGUCUCGCUCUGUCGCCUAGGCUGGAGUGUAUUGGUCUUAUCUCCGCUCACUGCAACCUCUGCCUCCGGGGUUCAAGCAAUUCUCUGACCUCAGCCUCCCGAGUAGCUGGGACUACAGGCGUGUGCCACCAUGCCCAGCUAAUUUUUUUUUAUUUUUAGUAGAGAUGGGGUUUCACCAUGUCAGUCAGACUGGUCUCGAACUCCUGACCUCAGGUAAUCCAACAGCCUCAGCCUCCCAAAGUGCUGGGAUUACAGGCAUGAACCACUGCUCCCGGCUUCAUAACUUUUCUUUUUGAGAAGGAGUCUCACUCUGUCCCCCAGGUGAGUGCAGUGGCAAGAUCUCAGUUCACUGCAACCUCCACCUCCCAGGUACAAACGAUUCUCCUGCCUCAGCCUCCUGAGUAGCUGGGACUACAGGCUCUCACCACUACACCCAGCUAAUUUUUGUAUUUUUAGUAGAGAUGGGGUUUUGUCAUAUUGGCCAGGCUGGUCUCGAACUCCCGACCUAAGGUGAUCUGCCAGCCUGGGCCUCCCAAAGUGCUGGAAUUAUAGGCAUGAGCCACUGUUCCCAGCCAGAGGAUACAGUUUUAAAUUCGAAUUUCUUCUUCUCUUCAUAUAUAUGCAUAUAAACCUUAUAGAUGCAACCCUCGCCCCUUUUAGUGUUAAAUCUUACACAUUUUUCCAUGUUAGUAAACCGGAUUGUUGUUGGUGUUCUUGUUUUUUGAUAUGGAGUCUCACUCUUGUCACCCAGACUGGAGUGCCAUGGCAUGAUCUCAGCUCACUGCAACCUCUGUGCUAUAGCUGGAACCUGAGCAACACCAUUUUAGAAAAGACAAAGCUGUUUUUCAAAAAUAAGUUGUAACGGCUGCCCCAUUCUCCUCACAAUGACUGCUAACCUUGGCUUCUGUAAAUAAAACUGCUUACCUUUUCUUUCUUUUUUUUUUUUUUGAGAUGGAGUUUCGCUCUUGUUACCCAGGCUGGAGUGCAAUGACGCAAUCUCGGCUCACUGCAACCUCCGCCUCCUGGGUUCAGGCAAUUCUCCUGCCUCAGCCUCCUGAGUAGCUGGUUACAGGCACGCGCCACCAUGCCCAGCUAAUGUUGACCAGGAUGGUCUCCAUUACCUGCUUACCUUUUCUUAUCACUGACAGCCAGAAUUGCUGGCCUUUGCUUACCGGUAAUGACCAGAAUAAGCAGCCCAAGUUAAUUCCAUCCUGGCUCCUGUGACUUGUAAUAGGUAACUAAGAUCUGUGGAUUCCACCACUGCCCAGACGAUGUGUAAACCCUAGCCCUUGGAAUGUCCAGAGACCUGCACCCUCCUCUCUGCCAGGGAGGUGAUUUACGGAAUCCCCUGGCCUUCAGAAUGUCUGAAUCCCUUCACCCCCACCCCGCCCCACACGCUCACCCCGGAGGUGGUUUAUGGGCAUAAAAGGGUCUUGUCACCCUCCUUUUGGGGCCACGGAUUGGAGAGAUGUGAGUCCUCUGUGGUCGCUGGCAAUAAAGACCCUGCAAUUUGGCAUA